CAACUACUCCCUCUGUCCCAAAUUUCUUGUCUUAGAUUUGUCUAGAUACGGAUGUAUCUAAUACUAAAAUGUGACUUCAUACAUCCGUAUCUAGACAAAUCUAAGACAAGAAUUUUGGGACGGAGGGAGUACUUU
rnacentral:pre_miRNA from 1 species